rnacentral:rRNA from 1 species
UACGAAGGGGGCUAGCGUUGCUCGGAAUGACUGGGCGUAAAGGGCGCGUAGGCGGUUCGUACAGUCAGACGUGAAAUUCCCGGGCUCAACCUGGGGGCUGCGUUUGAUACGUACGGGCUUGAGUUCGGAAGAGGGUCGUGGAAUUCCCAGUGUAGAGGUGAAAUUCGUAGAUAUUGGGAAGGACACCGGUGGCGAAGGCGGCGACCUGGUCCGAUACUGACGCUGAGGCGCGAAAGCGUGGGGAGCAAACAGG